ACGGGUGCGUAACGCGUGGGAAUCUGCCCCUUGGUUCGGAAUAACAGUUGGAAACGACUGCUAAUACCGGAUGACGACGUAAGUCCAAAGAUUUAUCGCCGAGGGAUGGGCCCGCGUAGGAUUAGGUAGUUGGUGUGGUAAAGGCGCACCAAGCCGACGAUCCUUAGCUGGUCUGAGAGGAUGAUCAGCCACACUGGGACUGAGACACGGCCCAGACUCCUACGGGAGGCAGCAGUGGGGAAUAUUGGACAAUGGGCGAAAGCCUGAUCCAGCAAUGCCGCGUGAGUGAUGAAGGCCUUAGGGUUGUAAAGCUCUUUUACCCGGGAUGAUAGUGACAGUACCGGGAGAAUAAGCUCCGGCUAACUCCGUGCCAGCAGCCGCGGUAAUACGGAGGGAGCUAGCGUUAUUCGGAAUUACUGGGCGUAAAGCGCACGUAGGCGGCUUUGUAAGUAAGAGGUGAAAGCCCAGAGCUCAACUCUGGAAUUGCCUUUUAGACUGCAUCGCUUGAAUCAUGGAGAGGUCAGUGGAAUUCCGAGUGUAGAGGUGAAAUUCGUAGA
rnacentral:rRNA from 1 species